GAUGAACGCUGGCGGCGUGCCUAAUACAUGCAAGUCGAGCGAACAGACGAGGAGCUUGCUCCUCUGACGUUAGCGGCGGACGGGUGAGUAACACGUGGAUAACCUACCUAUAAGACUGGGAUAACUUCGGGAAGCCGGAGCUAAUACCGGAUAAUAUAUUGAACCGCAUGGUUCAAUAGUGAAAGACGGUUUUGCUGUCACUUAUAGAUGGAUCCGCGCCGCAUUAGCUAGUUGGUAAGGUAACGGCUUACCAAGGCAACGAUGCGUAGCCGACCUGAGAGGGUGAUCGGCCACACUGGAACUGAGACACGGUCCAGACUCCUACGGGAGGCAGCAGUAGGGAAUCUUCCGCAAUGGGCGAAAGCCUGACGGAGCAACGCCGCGUGAGUGAUGAAGGUCUUCGGAUCGUAAAACUCUGUUAUUAGGGAAGAACAAAUGUGUAAGUAACUAUGCACGUCUUGACGAUACCUAAUCAGAAAGCCACGGCUAACUACGUG
rnacentral:rRNA from 1 species